rnacentral:rRNA from 1 species
ACGCUUGAAGUCAGUCACGUCUGCCAGGACUCAGCCUUGCUUCUGCUUGGUGUACUUUCUGGUUUGAUGGGCCAACAUCAAUUUCGACCGUUGGAGAAAGGCUUCGGGAAUGUGGCACCUUCGGGUGUGUUAUAGCCCUUUGUCGUAUGCGACGGUUGGGAUUGAGGACUGCAGCAUGCCUUCAUGGCCGGGGUUCGCCCACGUACGUGCUUAGGAUGUUGGCAUAAUGGCUUUAAGCGACCCGUCUUGAAACACGGACCAAGGAGUC